GGCCUAGGUUCUGUGAUACACUCCGACUCGGGCUCUGGAGCAGUCAGUGCAUGACAGAACUUGGGCC
ensembl:miRNA